AAUCAUCAAAACCCUUUUCUUUGAUCCUCUUUGGUCAGGGAAAGGAUUUUUUGGACUUGGAGGCUCCAUGCUUGCUUUCGGAAAGUGAAAGCGAGCUCCUCUCAAAUGAAUUAGUGGGGUCCGCUUUGCCGAUCCUUGACGUGAUAAGAUGCUUCUACGUUUUGGACUUGGCAUUGUGCCUUGGAUGUCUGCUUCUAACUGUCUCUUGGACAUACGAUGGUGCUCCAGUCACUGCCAUUUACAUUGGUGGGGAGGCUGGACCCACAAAAAUAAA
rnacentral:misc_RNA from 1 species